ACAGUGGCUAAGACUGGAUAGGAAGAUAAAAGGCAUCUUUUAUCUUUUAAAAGACCUAGUAAUAGGUAUGCUUUAGGAGGGGCUUGCGCCAUAUUAGUUAGUUGGUAGGGUAAUGGCCUACCAAGACGAUGAUGUGUAGCUGGACUGAGAGGUUGAACAGCCACAUUGGGACUGAGACACGGCCCAAACUCCUACGGGAGGCAGCAGUAGGGAAUUUUCGGCAAUGGAGGAAACUCUGACCGAGCAACGCCGCGUGAAUGACGAAGUACUUCGGUAUGUAAAGUUCUUUUAUCAAGGAAGAAAAGCAAAUGGCGAACCAUUUGUUUGCCGGUACUUGAUGAAUAACCCCCGGCUAAUUAUGUGCCAGCAGCCGCGGUAAGACAUAAGGGGCAAGUGUUAUCCGGAAUUAUUGGGCGUAAAGGGUGCGUAGGCGGUCUAGUAAGUCAGUGGUGUAAUGGCAACGCUUAACGUUGUCCGGCUAUUGAAACUGCUAAACUUGAGUUAGAUAGAGGCGAGUGGAAUUCCAUGUGUAGCGGUAAAAUGCGUAAAUAUAUGGAGGAACACCAGAGGCGUAGGCGGCUCGCUGGGUCUUAACUGACGCUGAGGCACGAAAGCGUGGGGAGCAAACAGGAUUAGAUACCCUGGUAGUCCACGCCGUAAACGAUGAGUACUAAGUGUCGGGUUAAACCGGUACUGAAGUUAACACAUUAAGUACUCCGCCUGAGUAGUACGUACGCAAGUAUGAAACUUAAAGGAAUUGACGGGACUCCGCACAAGCGGUGGAUCAUGUUGUUUAAUUCGAAGAUACCCGAAAAACCUUACCAGGUCUUGACAUGUUUUUGCAAAAUGAUAGUAAUAUCGUGGAGGUUACCAGAAACACAGGUGGUGCAUGGUUGUCGUCAGCUCGUGUCGUGAGAUGUUAGGUUAAGUCCUAAAACGAGCGAAACCCUUAUCGUUAGUUGCCAGCACGUUAUGGUGGGGACUUUAACGAGACUGCCAAUGAUAAAUUGGAGGAAGGUGAGGAUCACGUCAAAUCAGCAUGCCCCUUAUGACCUGGGCUACAAACGUGAUACAAUGGCUGUUACAAAGGGUAGCUGAAACGCAAGUUCUUGGCCAAUCCCCAAAAACAGUCCCAGUCCGGAUUGAAGUCUGCAACUCGACUUCAUGAAGUUGGAAUCGCUAGUAAUCGCGAAUCAGCAUGUCGCGGUGAAUACGUUCUCGGGGUUUGUACACACCGCCCGUCAAA
rnacentral:rRNA from 1 species